rnacentral:lncRNA from 1 species
GUUACCGACCCCGCGCCGCCCGCGGCCCGCGCGCCCCUUCCCGGACAGUUCCUCUCGGCGCCCCCGAGUCCUCCCCGCGCGCCGCUUCCCGGGUGGGCCCUUCCACCAGAACCCCCUGGUAGAUCCUCCCCUGGUGCCCUGGGGGUAGAGGGGAGAUCCUCCACAAGGGCCAUUUCCCUGGUGAUCCCUCCCUGUGCCCCACAGGUGAGUCCUGCCGUAGCUCUCCAGGGGUUCCUCCUGAUGCUGGGGUCCUCCGGCAUUCCUCCCUGAGCCCCCCAAGGGCCCUGAAGCUCAGCGGCCCAGCCCUGGCCUCGGGGUCCCCACCCCACACCUCCCUUCCAGGCCUAACCUUUGCCCCCGACACCAGGCAGGGCGUGUCCUUGGCCUUCGCCGCCCAGCCCGCGUGGCAUCUCUGGACAGGUGGUCGUGCGCGCCUUGGUGUGGGCAGGCUCCGUAGCCGGCAAAGCCUCCCUGAACCGUGACCUGGUGAGAAGGCCGCAGAGGAGGUGCCUGUGCCCAGAGGCCACCUCCAAAGACCCCACCUGAGGCUGGAACCCAGCGCCUGCUGACCCCGCCAGCCCCAACAGGGCUGGAGUCCAGGAGCGGCCGUGCUCUUUCCGCAGUGAGGCAGCUGCCUUCUCUUCCCACCACCUGUCAGGAUGCCUUCCCGUGUGUGCUUGUGCACAGGUCUAAGGAGAGGAGAGUCCAGUGAGUGACCCAGACGCCCCAGCCAGGAAGAGCAUGAGGUGCGAAGGGGGCUUCCCAGAUGGAGAGAAACAGAUGGUCCCAGAGUGGCUUGGAGACAGGUGCAACAUCAGUGUUGGGGGAGGACAUGGAGCGGAGCGUUCAGGGCUAUCAGGAGGGAGCCCCGUGGCCACGGUGCAAGAUCUAGGCAGGCGGGACAGACAUGGUCAGGAUGCUGGGGACACAGCAUGGGGAAUCCAGCACACAGGACACCAUCCAGGAAAGCAAAGCUGCAGCCUGAGAUCUCCUUCCACCAACUCCUGGCAUGGCCAGAAAGUUAGCCAGAAACACCAGAAAGUGCCAGGCAGCUAGGAAGCAUGGGGAGAGCCCCCUGAAGCUGCGUGUGUAGUGCCUGCUUCCGCUGCCAUCCCAGAAAUGGACGAGCUUCACCCUGAGAACCCAGCCACACCACUGGGACACAUCCUGACAGUGACAUGCACACUCUUCCCUGGCCCCAGCCUGGAGAGGAGCCUCCUGAAGACACCAGCCUUUGCUCCUUCUCCCAGUGGGAGUGGAGAGAACUGACUGCUGGAGUGGAGACAGUCAAGGCUGUCCUUCUGAGGGAGCACAGCACAGGGUCUGGUGUCCCAGGGAGGCAAUCUGAAAUUCAAGCCAGGCCUCCCCAGCGGAGAGGACACACCCCUCACCAUGCAGAGUGACGUUUAGUAAACUCUCAAAAGAGAGCACAGAGCCCCACUCCUCCAGCCGACCCAUACUCUGCCUCCCCACUCCAGACCAGUGAACAAGGUGGAUUGCCCUUAAGCCAGCUCAGAGGCAAAGUCCAAAGACCUCAGGUGAGUCAAACAAUAAAAACAAAGAAUUAAGAAGAAUCCAGCUGGGUGCGGUGGCUCACGCCUGUAAUCCCAGCACUUUGGGAGGCUGAGGCGGGAGGAUCACGAGCAGGAGGUCGAGACCAUCCUGGCUAACACGGUGAAACCCCGUCUCUACUAAAAAUAGAAAAAAUUAGCUGGGCGUGGUGGCGGGCGCCUGUAGUCCCAGCUACUCCGGAGGCUGAGGCAGAAGAAUGGCGUGAACCCAGGAAGCGGAGCUUGCAGUGAGCCGAGAUCAUGCCACUGCACUCCAGCCUGGGCGACAGAGCGAGACUCCGUCUCCAAAAAAAAAAAAAAAAAAAAAAUCCAUCCACUCCAUCCACUUAGUAGCAGAGCGAAUAGACAUUCAGGAAAGAGCUUUCACGUCAGAAAGCACUACAGAAGUAGUGGCAUAUCCCCGGAGGCUGAGGUGGGAGCAUUGCUGAGAGGUGGCACGUGACCACAUCCAUGUCAUUCAACAACAGAAAAACAAGUCAUCGAGGGUGUGAGGGGCCGGUGAGAAACCCAGUAUGGAAGAAAACACAACUGGGCUGAGCGUGGUGGCUCACGCCUGUAAUCCCAGCACUUUGGGAGGCCAAGGCAGGAGGAUCACCUGAGGUCAGGAGUUCGAGACCAGCCUGGUCAACAUAGUGAAACCUCAUCUCUACUAAAAAUACAAAAAAAUUAACUGGGUGUGGUAGCGCGUGCCUGUAGUCCCAGCUACUCCGGAGGCUGAGGCAGGAGAAUUGCAUGAACCCAGGAGCCGAGACCACACCACUGCACUCCAGCCUGGGGGCGGCACAGUGAGACUCCGUCUCAAAGAAACAAAAAUAAAAAAUAAAUAAAUAAAUAAAUAAAUAAAUAAGAAAACGCAACCAAAGAAACAGAAGAGGACUCCACAGGACUUCUUUCAGAGCUUCAUAGCAGCAUGAAUUCAACAAUCAGGAAUUCAAAUGCUUGACGACAAAACAGCAGGAUGGGAGGAAGAGUUAAGAGCCAAGCAAACCGGAAGCACCAAAAUCGCACCGUGGCUGGAUCAAGUCAUAAACAGCAAAGGGCAGAAUAUCAAGUUACUUGGAGAUGAAAGGCUUGAGAUAAUUUCAGAGCAAGACAAAGUGAUUAAC